CUACUCUCUCUCAGCCUCAGUUUCCACAAUUUUGAGCUGGGGUUAAUAACACCGAUGGCAUGGCUGUUGUGAGGAUUAUUUAGAAGAUAGAGAGAUACCUGUUUCUGGGCCCUCAGCACUAUUUUUGUUAGAAGUUUCUGCACUGUGUACACACAGAAUGAGGGCAGAGGAAGUCUGGGGCCACCUCAGAACUGACUGUCUCUCUUGCGUGGUAUAACGUGGGUCAUGGCCUCCUUCAGGAUGGCCUUGAACUGCUAGAGAGACAGCCCUUAGCUCUCAGCACAUUCUUAAAAUAAUCUCCAAAGGUGGAAGGAGUCACCGCUCCGGUGUUUUCAGGAAAUGCUGCUGUGAUCCCUUUGAGCCGGUCUCCAGUCUUCUUCCCAUUAUUGGACCCGAACUCAGAUUUCCAUUUAACUGUUAGAUUUAGUGCUGGUGAGGUUAGUGCCCCUCCCCGUCCCAGCCCCUCCCACUCCCAGCAGCUUCCUGGGAAGAUGGGAGGCGGGAGGUGAAGAGGCUCUCAACUGUUCUGCACUGGGGGGUUGGUCCUCCUUGAUUAAGGAAUGGCUCCAUUUCAGCCCAGCUUUUAGCUCAUUAUUUGGAUUGAACUAAUGUUGCAGUAACUAGACCUCCCCAACCAGAUACAGAUGACAAACCAGAUUGAUUCAUGGCCAUUUUCUUCCAUUUCUGACCAGGGUGGGCAGGUAAUGAAACUCAGUGCCCAGGUGUGCAAUAAACAGCACAGUAAAUUAUCCAGGGUGAAGUUUGUUAUCUUUUCCUAUAAAAAUGCAUUUGAAUUUACAACAGCUGCUACUACUCUCUCCAGCUGGCCUGCCAGCUCAAAUUCCACAUCUAACUAGGCAGUGAAAGAAUUUGAAUCAGGUAGGUAGUUCAUUAUGUUAUAUAAGUAUGAAGGCACUUUGGAAGAAUAUAGAGGCCAUUAAAAUGUAUUAAAAUUCAAAAGGUUUAGAUGGCUUUUCUGUUUAUUCAAAUGCAACCAGUGAUAGAUUGAAAUCGUAGUUUUUUUGGAACCAAACGUUUCCUCCCCUAUAAGUGUCUUCCUUUCAUAUAUUUGCAUUUAGCAAGUCACAGGGCAUUAAUACAAUGUUAAAAAAACAAAGAAAACAUAAAUUAAACCUAGAUAGCUUAUUUCUCUUUAGCCUUUUGUGUAGUGCCUACAGAGUGUGUGUGUGUGCGUGCGUGCAUGCGCUCGUGCUUGUGCAAGCAUUUCAAAUGCACUCACUCUUCUGCCUGUCAGCUUUAGCAGAUAGUUGUUCCUUGCAUGAAAAGGUAAAAUAUAUAGGAAGGCGGCUCUUCAGUUUAAGGGCUUAGAGAUUUUAACCUUUUUUUGGUCAAUCCGGAGAACUGGAGAGAUAAUGGGGGACAUGCUCUCUCAUCUGGUACAGAUAUUAGGUCUCACUCUCUCUCUGUCUCUUUCUCUCUUGAAACUACAUAAGUCUGGCAAAACCACAAGCUCCUUGAAGGCAGAAACUAUGCCUUAAACUAGCACUAGUGUUCCAGAAAGUGGGGUCCAGCUGCAUAACGCUCUACAGAUAAUAAAAAGGCAAGUUUGGUGGAAAAGAACGUUUGCUUUAUUUCAGAGACCACUGGUGGAGGUGGGGUAGGGCAGACUUCUGUCCAAAGGCCAACUUUCCCCACUGACAACCCGUGGGCAAGAGGAGUUUCAGGGGGUGUAUAGCAGAGGGAGGGGGCUACAUGCAGAAACAGCACAGUCAACUUUGACAGUCAUCUUGAAAUUGGCCAUGUGGUGGUUUAAUCAGCAUUAUCUUGAUUGUUUUAAGUACAGUUAGUCUUCAGCUCCAGCGUUGGUUUGUUCCCAUUUCCUUGAGGGCAGUUCUUAAAGUUGUGGCAGCUGAUGUCAUGGCGACAAUCUGGUGAUCAUGUAGUUAACUUCUUCCACCUGGUGGUGGUUUCAGUAUCUACAAGGCAGCUCACACACAGGACAUGGCUCAGAAUAUUUUCUUUAGCAUUUGAGGAGAAACUGAAGGUCCUUGACUUUGCUUAAUGACUAAACUGUUAUUAUUUGGUCUUGUUUGACUGCUUUCCUUUGCUUCUCCAUUUUCUCAUUUCUCUGAUUAAACUUAUUAUUUGACUAAAGUUUUUCUACAGACAAAAGGCAGGCAGAGGACAAGGGGUGGGAGGGAAGGACCAUAGGGUCAUAGUCUGUUUCACUAGGAGGAGCUUAAUAAUUUCAUUUUAGUUAACCCAUCACAGUCCUGUCAGCUGGUUUUAAGUGGGGUUGGCAUCUGUGGCACCUAUAGGAGCACAGGUAGAUGGCAUGUUAAAAAAUAACCACAGGAGUUCCCUGGUGGCUUAGUGGAUUAGGGACCUGGUAUUGUCACUGCUGGAUUGGAUUGGAUCCCUGGCCCCAGAGCUUCCACAUGCCAUGGGUGUGGCCAAAAAAAUUUAAAAAAUAAAACACAGGCUAUUAUUAGGCUUGGUUUUAGGUAAAACAUAUCCUUUGGGAGGGCACCUCAUUUCAUUUUUCCAUGCGAGAGGUUGAGACUGAAGAGGGGCCUCCCCUUAUCCACCUGCACGGGGAUCACCCCCAGAGCCUGAGCCUUCUCUAAGCAUGAAAUUGCUCUUUUAAUUCCGUUUGCUCAUUUAAUGUGAAAGCAGACUCUACAGAGCUCAGUAUUCUCAAUUCCUGCUGUUGACGGAUUAUCCAGUUAAUCCUUAUGAGGCGGGAAAAAGAUGGAAAUUGUUUUUCCCCAUUUUUCAAACUGAGUAUGGCAGGAAAAGAGGUAAGAUCUCAGGGAGAAGCUUUACGGUUUCCUAGCCUCCCAGUCCAGCCCCGUAUCACAUAUUAGGUAGCAUUGUUCUCAAAUUCUACAAAACAACACUUUUUUUUUUUUUUUGUCUUUUUAGGGCCGCUUUCAUGGCAUAUGGAGGUUCCCAGGCUAGCAGUUGAAUCAGAGCCGUAGUCACCGGCCUAUGCCAGAGCCACAGCAACACAGGAUCCAAGCUGCAUCUGCGACUUACACCACAGCUCACAGCAACACCGGAUCCUUAACCCACUGAGCGAGGCCAGGGAUCAAACCCACAUCCUCAUGGAUACUAGUUGGGUUCGUUAACCACUGAGCUACGACAGGAACUCCAAACAAUACUCUUCUUAAUUGGUUAAAGAAGAGUUUAAGUUUUUUUUUGUGCAACAGUCAUUUUCUUUUGCUAAGAUAUUACUGCUGUUAAAAUGUGAAUUUUGUCCAGUUUUUAUUAAGCUCUUUGCAAAGGAAAAGAGGUCAGCAUGAUCCCUGUUGAAUUUUCAAGAUGGCAUCAAAAACGAUGACAAAUAAAUUGGAGCAGAAUUUUUCAAAUCAAAAAAAGUAACCAAGCACACUCUGAAGACAAAAUAUAAAGCUUAUUAAUAUUUUUCCUUUUUUCUAAAAUGUCCUUGGGGACAAUGACCGACAAUUUCCUUGUACAUAUAACUUUGUGCAUAUAAAAACCAAGAUCAACUAAUGCCUUGGAUUUAAAAAAACAAAUGUUUAUUUUGAAUUAACGUGGUUUUAGCUCAGUUAAUAUUGAAAAUGAGAGCUGUCAACACUCACCUGUAAUAAGGUCUUUCUGUGCUUGAACCUGACUUGAUGUGGAUGUCUUAUAAAGAGCCUUAAUCUUGGCUUAUUAAAGGACUAAUAGCAGUAGGAGACCAGAAUAUGCCAUUGCAAAUGUUUUGAACUGAUUUUUAAAGAAACAGCAGACAGGAGAAACUCUGAUAACAGACUGUAAGUUACCCUUUUAUAAGAAAUUUACAUUUAUAAAGGAAAUCUUUCCUUGUAAAGUUGUCUCCCAGUCUGUAGAAGGAGACGGUUGUCUCUAGGUCAUAAGAGACUCUGAUCUUUGCAGAAGACAAUGACCUACAUCUUGUUUACCAGUUUCCUGGCCCCCUUCCACAACUUGCCUCCUCACCCCUGCAGAUGGUCCCAAAGCCCAAGUUCUUGCCCCCUUUUUGAGUUCUUCUUCUCAUUGUUUCUCCCAUGUUUAUGUGAGUUGUACUUGUUAAUAAAGUCAGUUUGUUUUCUCUUGUUCAUCUGUCUAUUGUAAGGAGAAUCCCAGCUGAGAACCUCAGAGGAGAGAAAGAUUUUUUUUCCUCCUUCACGUAGAAACUCUCAGUCAUAGAGAGUCACAUGUUCUUAUCUGCUGUCCGCUUUCCAUCUGUGCUUGGAAUCUUAAAAUGCAUCUGCUGAACUCUUACACUAUAAUAAGAUUUUUUUUCUUUUAAGCUCUUAAAUUACAUAAAUAAUAUUCAUUGGAGAAAAUUUAGAUAUAUCAACAAAACUCACUCAGAAUCUCACCAACCAAUCAGACAAAACCACUGCGUUUCUGGACAGGCUUAACCAUAAAUUCAGAAACAAAACUGGAUCAUGUUAUAAACACUUUUCUGUAUUCUGCUCUUCUCAAUUAAUAGAUAAUAAACAUCUCUCCCUAUCAGUGGAUGUACAUUUAUCAUUAUAAAUAAAAAUAUUAUUAUAUGACAUGUUGUUUGUAAUUUACUCAACUAAUUGCUAAUUGUUGGACAUUUCGAUUGCUUAUAAUUUUUUCUUUCUAGAAACAGCAUGGUAAAUCUCCCCUAUUGAGGCUUUUGUUUAUUAUGCAAUAAUUUGCUUAGGAUGAAUUUUAGUAGUGGAAUUUUUGGGCCAAAGGGUUGUGUAUUAUUAAUGCCUUUGAUAAAAUGCUCUGAAAAUAUCUAAUGAUUUGUAUCCAGAUUUUUUUUUAAAUAUUUUUGCCAACUUGAUAGAUAAUUAUAGUGUUUUUUUGGUUUGGUUCAUGCUUUUUAUUAAUGAAGAACACUUUUUGUGUAUUCACUGGAAAUUCUUUUAUAAUUAGUCUAUUCUUUACUUAUGGUUUUGCCAGGAUGAUCAUAUAUAUUAUUUAUUUCCAAGAAAUUUUAAAACAUAUUAACCAUAUUGAUCAUUUUUAUAGUAUAUCUUUUGUAGACCAUUUCCAGUUUGCAUUUUGAUUUUUAAUUAUAUGGAUUUUAUGUGCAGGGUUAUACUUUUACUUUUUUGAAAAUGUUUUAAUUAUUUAAGCUUUCAGUCUUUUUAUUUAUAGGUUCUGCCUUUUGUGUCAGAAUUAAAAAGCAUUUUUUCAUAAAGUUAUGGGAAUAUUUACCUAUAUUUUCUUCUAGUAAUUGUAUGGUUUUGCUUUUUAUGAUGAAAACUUUAACUAGCU
rnacentral:lncRNA from 1 species